GACGGGGGGGGCAAGUGUUCUUCGGAAUGACUGGGCGUAAAGGGCGCGUAGGCUGAGAUGCCAGUCAGAUGUGAAAGCCCGGGGCUCAACCCCGGAACAGCAUUUGAAACUACAUCUCUAGAGGGUAGGCGGAGAAAACGGAAUUCCACAAGUAGCGGUGAAAUGCGUAGAUAUGUGGAAGAACACCAGUGGCGAAGGCAGCUCUCUGGGUCCCUACCGACGCUGGAGUGCGAAAGCAUGGGGAGCGAACGGG
rnacentral:rRNA from 1 species